CGCGGCCUAUCAGCUUGUUGGUGUGGUAACGGCGCACCAAGGCAACGAUGGGUAGCUGGUCUGAGAGGAUGGUCAGCCACAUUGGGACUGAGACACUGCCCAAACUCCUACGGGAGGCUGCAGUCGAGAAUAUUUCGCAAUGGGGGAAACCCUGACGAUGCGACGCCGCGUGGGGGAUGAAGGCCUUCGGGUCGUAAACCUCUGUGUUACGGGAUGAAUCGAGCGUUGCUGAUAACGCAGCGUUUUUGACGUUACCGUAGUAGAAAGCCCCAGCUAACUACGUGCCAGCAGCUGCGGUAAUACGUAGGGGGCAAGCGUUGUCCGGAAUCACUGGGCGUAAAGCGCGCGCAGGCGGUAGGGUAAGUCAGACGUGAAAGGGUUCGGCUCAACCGAGCCAUUGCGUUUGAUACUGCUUUACUUGAGUCUAGAAGAGGAAAGUGGAAUGUAUGGUGUAGCGGUGGAAUGCUUAGAUAUCAUAUAGAACACCCGUGGCGAAGGCGGCUUUCUGGUCUAAGACUGACGCUCAUGCGCGAAAGUUUGGGGAGCAACCGGGAUUAGAUACCCCGCUAGUCCUUACUGUAAACGAUGGGUACUAAGUGUAGGGGGUGUUGAUUCCCUCUGUGCUGUAGCUAACGCAUUAAGUACCCCGCCUGGGGAGUACGG
rnacentral:rRNA from 1 species